rnacentral:rRNA from 1 species
GAUGAACGCUGGCGGCGUGCCUAACACAUGCAAGUCGAGCGGAGAUAAACGCCGAAUGAAGCUUCGGCCGAAUUCAUGUUUAUCUUAGCGGCGGAUGGGUGAGGAACGCGUGGAGAACCUGCCCUUCACAGGGGGAUAACAGUUGGAAACGACUGUUAAUACCGCAUAUGCUCACAGUACCGCAUGGUACAGGGAGGAAAGCCGAGACGGUGAAGGAUGGCUCCGCGUCGGAUUAGCCAGUUGGCGGGGUAACGGCCCACCAAAGCGAUGAUCCGUAGCCGGCCUGAGAGGGCGACCGGCCACAUUGGGACUGAGACACGGCCCAAACUCC